GACAGGGUUUGGGGGGGGUGGAGUGGGAGAGUUGCUGCUGUGAAUGGAAGUCAAGACAUCGGUUCACAUUUCACAAUCAGUUGAUGUGUUUUAGUUAUGUUCAAACUGUUCUCAUAAUGGCCAAUAGGCUAUUUGACCGUCUUUGGUAGGCCUAUGUCAUUUACUAUAUAGGCUCACUAUAUACCAUUUCAAUAAAGAUUUGUGAGUAGGCCUACAGUAAUCAAUAUUUUGUGCAUUUUGUUGCUUUUAUUUUGUUGAAUGUGGGCUUAAUAAACUGCACCUGUUCUAUUUCAUCAAGGUGUCAUAUUCUGUUCACAUAGGUUCUGCAAAUGCAUUGAAUGGGGGAGGGGAAAUACUGCAAAUAUAUGUAGGCUAGCCUACGUCUUAAUUUGACUUUUUAAAUAUUUUAAAUUUCAACAGAUUUGAAAGUGACAUAGCCUAUUUACCCUGCCCACCUUAGGAAGGCACCCAUAAUUGGACAUGCGCAGAUUUGCUGUCAUUCCAACAGGUCUCAGCGUCGGGAGAGGCAUGUCCAUUCCAGCCAGUGGCCACCGAAACUCAAUUGAGACGCCGUCGGCUGUCAGGCAGAGAAAGAGAGCAAACCUUUAGGUUGGACAAGAUGACUUUGGAACUCAGACAUAGCCCAGGUCAAUAGAAGAGGUCGUGUUUGAAAUCAGCUUUAGCCUAUAUAAGGUCAUGUUAGAGAGAAAAAGUUUACACUAGUCGACUUUUGUUUUCAGCCGAUAUACGCUAACCAGAUAGCUAACGUUAACAGUAACGUUAGCUUUCCAUCUAACCGUUUUAGUUUUAAACUAAUUUAUGUUUUAUUUAUAAAAUAUGUAUGUGAAGUAGCCAUACAGUCUCUCUAAGCUUGUGGAACCCCAUGAAACACUACGAGGUAGACCCAAAGUGAUGUCUGAGGGGGCAGCCAGACCCUCGUCCCCAUCCCCUUCAGUCUCGCUGCUGGAAGUCAAAGCUGACACUCAACUGGUACUCAAGUCCUUCCUGCGUAAUGCGCUGUCUGUUCCCGCGGCUGAGCGGCCUGGCAGGGUGGGCGGGACCUACCGCGACUCCAAUAAGUACUCUGCCAGCAGCAAGUCUCAGAAGACGGCAGAUAAUGGCUGGGACUCGUGGGAUGAGGCCAUCAGCUCUGCCGAGGAGAAGAAGCACAGCAUCAAAACCCUCAUCAAGACACGACUGCGUCCCCGCACACUCCAACGGCCUGAGGCACCGCGCAAAAGCGAGACGUUGGAGAAGGACAGAAAACCUGUCCAGUCAAAGAAUGACCAGCCUGCCACUCACUCAGAGACCCUGCAGAAGAAGCCUGAGCAGGAAGAUGUGGGCUCCUCGCCUUCCUCUCCCGAGGAUGAAGAAGAGAAGAAGCAGGGCGAGGACGGGAAUAAGAAAAAGACGAAGAGCAAACGCAAAAUGCAGUUCUCUUCAAUCUUCUCUAUGAAAAGCUUUAAAUCCAAGCCCAAGAGUGACGAUCCGAAGAGGCCCAGCACACUGGUGGUCUCGCCUGACCCCCCGACCUCGCAGGAACCACUCUCACCCUCCCACCCUCCCGAGUUCUAUGAGGACGUGGCCGAUACUCUGGAGCGGAUCGCCAGGCAAAGUGUGAAGAAGAAGCCCAAACCUGUGCCGCUCUCCCUCAGUCCCCCGCCCAGCCAACCUGCAGUUUCAGCCAAUGCCAAGAACGAUGUGGUUCAACAGCUGGUCCAGAUGCUCUGUACAGAAGGUGACAUCAUGAAUGACAAGAGUCUAAAGCCACCAGCAGCAUCUGGAUCAACGCUAACCCGUUUUUACGCACAUCACUGGACCGCCUUUCGUACCCCUCUUUCGCUAAGCUGCUGGACGCUUACGCUAGUCAAACACUGCCCCCGGCCACACCCCCACCGGUCCCCGCCAGCCCCACACUACGCAAAGUGGCCCUCACCAUGGAGGCAUCGCGCCGCGUUCUCACGGCAACAGGUGCGCGUCAGCACCUGAAGGAGCAUGCUGAGCGUUACAUGGAGAACUUUGCUCCGUGGAUCAAGAACCAAGGAGGCUGGGAACACAUUGUGGAGGAGAUCCAUGAGUAUGACUGACAGCUGGGAUCCUGAAGUGCUUUUUACAAUGGACUUAUCGUGAACUGUGGAUAUUGGAGUCAGCCAUGGAUGCGACAAAAAACAAACAAAAAAAAUGGUUGUAAUGAUCGUGACUGUUAUUUUUGUAAAUCGGGUUUUCAGCCAAAAAGGCCAAAUUGUUUCUAUACCGUGCUUUUUAUACUAAUUUUUAAAUGUUUUUAAAGAAAUCAUGAAAACACAAA